rnacentral:rRNA from 1 species
UACGUAGGGUGCAAGCGUUAAUCGGAAUUACUGGGCGUAAAGCGUGCGCAGGCGGUUUUGUAAGUCUGUUGUGAAAUCCCCGGGCUCAACCUGGGAAUGGCAAUGGAGACUGCAAGGCUAGAGUUUGGCAGAGGGGGGUAGAAUUCCACGUGUAGCAGUGAAAUGCGUAGAUAUGUGGAGGAACACCGAUGGCGAAGGCAGCCCCCUGGGUCAAACUGACGCUCAUGACACGAAAGCGUGGGGAGCAAACAGG